rnacentral:misc_RNA from 1 species
GAUGAAGAACGUAGCGAAAUGCGAUACUUGGUGUGAAUUGCAGAAUCCCGUGAACCAUCGAGUUUUUGAACGCAAGUUGCGCCCGAAGCCGUUAGGCCGAGGGCACGCCUGCCUGGGUGUCACACAUCGUUGCCCCAAUGCCAAUCGCCUCACUUUGUAGGUAUUUGCUUGGGGUGAAUGUUGGCCUCCCGUGAGCUUUGUCUCACGGUUGGUUGAAAAUUGAGUCCUUGGUAGGGAGCGCCGUGAUAGAUGGUGGUUGAGUGACGAACGAGACCCAAUCAUGUGAGACCCCUACCGAAUUUGGCCUUCAUGACCCACAUGCGUCUUUGGAACGCUCAUGACGAGACCUCAGGUCAGGCGGGGCUACCCGCUGAGUUUAAGCAUAUCAAUAAGCGGAGGA